UACAGAGGUCUCAAGCGUUGUUCGGAUUCAUUGGGCGUAAAGGGUGCGUAGGCGGUCCGGUAAGUCCGCUGUGAAAGUCGGGGGCUCAACCCUCGAAUGCCGGUGGAUACUGUCGGGCUAGAGUGCGGAAGAGGCGAGUGGAAUUCCUGGUGUAGCGGUGAAAUGCGCAGAUAUCAGGAGGAACACCAAUUGCGAAGGCAGCUCGCUGGGACGUAACUGACGCUGAGACGCGAAAGCGUGGGGAGCGAACAGG
rnacentral:rRNA from 1 species